GACGAACGCUGGCGGCGUGCCUAAUACAUGCAAGUAGAACGCUGAGGUUUGGUGUUUACACUAGACUGAUGAGUUGCGAACGGGUGAGUAACGCGUAGGUAACCUGCCUCAUAGCGGGGGAUAACUAUUGGAAACGAUAGCUAAUACCGCAUAAGAGUAAUUAACACAUGUUAGUUAUUUAAAAGGAGCAAUUGCUUCACUGUGAGAUGGACCUGCGUUGUAUUAGCUAGUUGGUGAGGUAAAGGCUCACCAAGGCGACGAUACAUAGCCGACCUGAGAGGGUGAUCGGCCACACUGGGACUGAGACACGGCCCAGACUCCUACGGGAGGCAGCAGUAGGGAAUCUUCGGCAAUGGACGGAAGUCUGACCGAGCAACGCCGCGUGAGUGAGGAAGUAUUUCGGUAUGUAAAGCUCUAUCAGCAGGGAAGAAAGAAAUGACGGUACCUGAGUAAGAAGCUCCGGCUAAAUACGUGCCAGCAGCCGCGGUAAUACGUAUGGAGCAAGCGUUAUCCGGAUUUACUGGGUGUAAAGGGAGCGUAGGCGGCAGAGCAAGUCUGAUGUGAAAGCCCGGGGCUCAACCCCGGUAGUGCAUUGGAAACUGUUCGGCUCGAGUGUCGGAGGGGUAAGCGGAAUUCCUGGUGUAGCGGUGAAAUGCGUAGAUAUCAGGAAGAACACCGGAGGCGAAGCGGCUUACUGGACGAUUACUGACGCUGAGGCUCGAAAGCGUGGGGAGCGAACAGG
rnacentral:rRNA from 1 species